rnacentral:rRNA from 1 species
GGCCAGCAGCCGCGGUAAAACGUAGGAGGCGAGCGUUAUCCGGAUUUACUGGGUGUAAAGCGCAUGCAGGCGGUUCGUUAAGUUGGAUGUGAAAGCUCCUGGCUUAACUGGGAGAGGUCGUUCAAAACUAGCGAACUAGAGGACGGUAAGGGAAAGCGGAAUUCCGGGUGUAGUGGUGAAAUGCGUAGAUAUCCGGAGGAACACCAGUGGCGAAGGCGGCUUUCUGGACCGUGACUGACGCUCAGAUGCGAAAGCUAGGGUAGCAAACGGGAUUAGAGACCCCGGUAGUCCUAGCCGUAAACGAUGUGAACUUGGCGGUGGUUGGGUAAAACCGAUCACUGCCGAAGCUAACGCGAUAAGUUCACCACCUGGGGACUACGGCCGCAAGGUUAAAACUCAAAGGAAUUGACGGGGGCCCGCACA